rnacentral:rRNA from 1 species
UACGUAGGGGCCGAGCGUUGUCCGGAGUUAUUGGGCGUAAAGCGCGCGCAGGCGGCCUCGCGCGCCCGACGUGAAAGCCCCCGGCUUAACCGGGGAGGGUCGUUGGGGACGGCGGGGCUUGAGGGCGGGAGAGGUCGGUGGAAUUCCCGGUGUAGUGGUGAAAUGCGUAGAGAUCGGGAGGAACACCUGUGGCGAAGGCGGGUCUCUGGGCCGAUACUGACGCUGAGGAGCGAAAGCGUGGGGAGCGAACAGG